rnacentral:tRNA from 1 species
AGUCUUAUAGUCAAAAUAUGAUUUUAGACUGCAAAUCUAAAGGUGAAUUAAUCUAAGGCUU